GACGAAGGUGGCUAGCGUUGCUCGGAUUUACUGGGCAUAAAGCGCGCGUAGGUGGUCGUGUAAGCGGGGGAUGAAAGCCCAUGGCUCACCCAUGGAACUGUCCCCCGGACUGCACGGCUCGAGGAAGGAAGGGGAGAAUGGAAUUCCCGGUGUAGCGGUGAAAUGCGUAGAUAUCGAGAGGAACACCGGUGGCGAAGGCGGCCUUCUGGACAGUAACUGACGCUGAGACGCGAAAGCGUGGGGAGCAAACAGG
rnacentral:rRNA from 1 species